UACGUAGGGGGCAAGCGUUGUCCGGAAUCAUUGGGCGUAAAGCGCGUGUAGGCGGCUUGGUAAGUCUGGUGUGAAACCUCGGGGCUCAACCCCGAGCCUGCACUGGAUACUGCCUCGCUCGAGUCCGGGGAGGGGAGAGCGGAAUUCCUAGUGUAGCGGUGAAAUGCGCAGAUAUUAGGAAGAACACCGGUGGCGAAGGCGGCUCUCUGGAACGGUACUGACGCUGAGACGCGAAAGCGUGGGGGAGCGAAACAGG
rnacentral:rRNA from 1 species